GGCUACCAUGCAGUCGAGGGGCAGCAUGGUCUUAGCUUGCUAAGGCCGAUGGCGACCGGCGCACGGGUGAGUAACACGUAUCCAACCUGCCGUCUACUCUUGGACAGCCUUCUGAAAGGAAGAUUAAUACAAGAUGGCAUCAUGAGUCCGCAUGUUCACAUGAUUAAAGGUAUUCCGGUAGACGAUGGGGAUGCGUUCCAUUAGAUAGUAGGCGGGGUAACGGCCCACCUAGUCUUCGAUGGAUAGGGGUUCUGAGAGGAAGGUCCCCCACAUUGGAACUGAGACACGGUCCAAACUCCUACGGGAGGCAGCAGUGAGGAAUAUUGGUCAAUGGGCGAGAGCCUGAACCAGCCAAGUAGCGUGAAGGAUGACUGCCCUAUGGGUUGUAAACUUCUUUUAUAAAGGAAUAAAGUCGGGUAUGNAUACCCGUUUGCAUGUNCUUUAUGAAUAAGGAUCGGCUAACUCCGUGCCAGCAGCCGCGGUAAUACGGAGGAUCCGAGCGUUAUCCGGAUUUAUUGGGUUUAAAGGGAGCGUAGAUGGAUGUUUAAGUCAGUUGUGAAAGUUUGCGGCUCAACCGUAAAAUUGCAGUUGAUACUGGAUAUCUUGAGUGCAGUUGAGGCAGGCGGAAUUCGUGGUGUAGCGGUGAAAUGCUUAGAUAUCACGAAGAACUCCGAUUGCGAAGGCAGCCUGCUAAGCUGCAACUGACAUUGAGGCUCGAAAGUGUGGGUAUCAAACAGGAUUAGAUACCCUGGUAGUCCACACGGUAAACGAUGAAUACUCGCUGUUUGCGAUAUACGGCAAGCGGCCAAGCGAAAGCGUUAAGUAUUCCACCUGGGGAGUACGCCGGCAACGGUGAAACUCAAAGGAAUUGACGGGGGCCCGCACAAGCGGAGGAACAUGUGGUUUAAUUCGAUGAUACGCGAGGAACCUUACCCGGGCUUAAAUUGCAGAUGAAUUACGGUGAAAGCCGUAAGCCGCAAGGCAUCUGUGAAGGUGCUGCAUGGUUGUCGUCAGCUCGUGCCGUGAGGUGUCGGCUUAAGUGCCAUAACGAGCGCAACCCUUGUUGUCAGUUACUAACAGGUUCCGCUGAGGACUCUGACAAGACUGCCAUCGUAAGAUGUGAGGAAGGUGGGGAUGACGUCAAAUCAGCACGGCCCUUACGUCCGGGGCUACACACGUGUUACAAUGGGGGGUACAGAGGGCCGCUACCACGCGAGUGGAUGCCAAUCCCAAAAACCUCUCUCAGUUCGGACUGGAGUCUGCAACCCGACUCCACGAAGCUGGAUUCGCUAGUAAUCGCGCAUCAGCCACGGCGCGGUGAAUACGUUCCCGGGCCUUGUACACACCGCCCGUCAAGCCAUGGGAGCCGGGGGUACCUGAAGUGCGUAACCGCGAGGAGCGCCCUAGGAAACUGU
rnacentral:rRNA from 1 species